rnacentral:lncRNA from 1 species
UUUGUUGAAGGAAUAACAAGAAAAGAGUAGUCAAUGUUGUUUGUGGUCAGGGAAUCGAUAAAUUUUUCUUAUGAAGAAUUAAUGAGUAUUGAUUAACCGAGUCCAGAUAAGAUGUUAUAAUUAUGUUUUGUGUAACUUAGUGCAAGGAAGGGAAGUCGUGGUUUCCGGGAAGAAAGUGACCCACUGAUGUUGAGCGGUAUAUAAGAGGAAUUAAGUGGAAGC